GGGGAUUUGGCUCAGUGGUAGAGCGCUUGCCUAGCAAGCACAAGGCCCUGGGUUCGGUCCUCAGCUCCG
rfam:Rattus norvegicus chromosome 10, whole genome shotgun sequence.